ensembl:snRNA U1 U1 spliceosomal RNA
AUACUUACCUGGCAGGGGAGAUACCAUGAUCAUGAAGGUGGUUCACCCAGGGCGAGGCUCAGCCAUUGCACUCCGGCUGUGCUGACCCGUGCGAAUUCCCCAAAUGUGGGAAUCUCGACUGCAUAAUUUGUGGUAGUGGGGGACUGCGUUCGCGCUCUCCCCUG